GGUUAUCUCCAUCUUUUCCUGCCCAUCAUAUCCACUACUACAAACAGUUUUGGGUUUGAUUUCUCCCACGUCCCCUCCCCACGGUUCUUGUAACUUCCUACCCUUCCUUUUAAUAGGGAUCUCAAACCUACAUUUUUGCCAUUCCCCUUCAUCGCUCUGUAUCAAUCCAUUGCUCUUUGAAAAGUAAAAGUGAAGCAUCGAUUUCGUCGCAACACCGAUUCCAAGCAUUUGUGUGUGUGUAAUUUCCAGUUAAAACUCAAGAACCAACCAAGGAUUGAGAUGGCGAGUUCAGUAGAGGCUGCCGGAGAACCUGUUCCGAUGUCGGCGGUGCUAAUGUCGGCGUCGAAGCACAUCGCCGUAAGAUGAAGAGGUGUUAUUGUUUAAAAAUUCGAUAAAAAAAUAUUUUAUUUGAGUAAAUUUGUGUUAUUGUUUGCCCCCCCCCCCCCCAAUGGUAACCCUGAAUAUGAUUCCAGUGUUUGUUUGUCGGUGCUUUCAAGUCAAAUUCAGACAGUCUCCUUACAGCGAUACAGCCUCCUAAGCUCUGCUGGAAAGGUUUUUGAUGCUAUCAAUUUGCAAUCCGCAAGGCGUUGUGAUAUGAUGUGCGGUUGAGAUAUAUACGCAUCUUAAUCGAUCAAUGCUCAUUUGGUCUGUUUUCAAAGAAAGAAGAAAAAGGUCAAAGAGAAAGAAGAGUCGGAUGAUAAGCAAACAUCAGGGUAUCAAGUUCAGUCUAGGCUUCAACUGCUACAAGGACUAUUAUACGUAAAGGAACCGUACUGAUGUAUUCUAGGAAGCAAUCGUUUCUCAUCAUUUAUAAUGGACGAUGUACAUUGGGAGAUCUGGAUACAUAUCUAUCAUUGGGAGCAAAGCUUACUUGCUUAUUGCUGUUGUUGGCGCCUGUACGGUUGCAAACUUGCAACAACCCAGGAACGCAUCUUCAUCGUUAGUGAACUGGUUCAUGUUAUCUUAUAUAAUUUCAAAUAUACAAUAAAGAAUCUGGUGAAAAGGGUUUGAAGUAGGUGAAACUCUUGAUAUGUUAAAGAAUAAAGAGUCCAAUGAUAAUGGGGAUAAGAGACAAGUCUAGGGGAUGCCGACACCAAGAACAACGACAUGACCAUCAUUUUGUCACAGUGGCGUUAUUGAAACUCUCCCUGCCUACUCUGAAGAUAACAAUGGACAUUAGGGCUUGAUCAAAUACAACUCUAAACUUGGUUGCAUGCCAAUCACAGUACCCAUCAUUUGAGUGGUAUAAAGGUUUGAAGAGAUGGAAAGGCGUAAACUAGGAGAGAUUUCCAUUGAAGACCUGCCAAGUGUCUUGAAGCUGAGGAAUGAACUUUGCCUAGCGCGCAGGCACACACACACCGGAUGUGUAUACAACUAAUGUUUUUGUUUGGAAUGCAAAGCCCGUCCACCGGACGAGUAUUAAACUAGUUUUAAUGAUUUAAAACAUCCAUAUAUGCUUAAGAAAGUUAAUAUUAUUUUC